rnacentral:tRNA from 1 species
GGGCGGAUAGCGCAGCCGGGAGAGCGCUGCCUUCACGCGGCAGAGGGCACAGGGUCGAGCCCUGUGCCGCCCACUA